rnacentral:rRNA from 1 species
GACGAACGCUGGCGGCGUGCCUAACACAUGCAAGUCGAACGCACAGUUUAUACCGUCGCUUGCUACACCAUAGACUGUGAGUUGCGAACGGGUGAGUAACGCGUAUGUAACCUGCCUGGGAGCGGGGGGUAAGGAUUGGAAACGAAAUCUAAUACACCAUAAUAUUGAUUAUUGCAUGGUAAUUCAUUGAAAGGGGCAAUUGCACCACUACCAGCGGGACCGGUGGUGGAUUAGCUAGUAGGUGAGGUAAACGCGCACCUAGGCGACGAUACAGAGCCGAGCUGAGAAGGUGAGUGGCCAACAUGGGACGGGGACCCGGGUCAGGAUCCCACGGGAGGGAGCCGUAGGGAAACUUCGGCAAUGGACGAAAGUCUGACCGCGCAACGACGGGUGAGGGAAGAAGGUUUUCGGAUUGGAAAGCUCUGUUGUAAGGGAAGAAAGGGUGGGAGAGUGGAAAGUUCACACUGUGACGGUAUCUUACCAGAAAGGGACGGCUAACUACGUG